CCGUCCGAUUUGUGAAGUUAAGCAGCCACAGGCUUAGUUAGUACUGAGGUCAGUGAUGACUCGGGAACCCUGAGUGCUGUACCCUCAUAACUC
rnacentral:rRNA from 1 species